rnacentral:rRNA from 1 species
UACGGAGGGGGCUAGCGUUGUCCGGAAUCACUGGGCGUAAAGCGCGCGUAGGCGGCUUGGUAAGUCGGGUGUGAAAGCCCGGGGCUCAACCCCGGAUGCGCAUCCGAGACUGCCAGGCUUGAGUCCGAGAGAGGGCGGCGGAAUUCCCAGUGUAGAGGUGAAAUUCGUAGAUAUUGGGAAGAACACCGGUGGCGAAGGCGGCCGCCUGGCUCGGUACUGACGCUGAGGCGCGAAAGCGUGGGGAGCAAACAGG